GAGUUUGAUCGUGGCUCAGAAUGAACGCUGGCGGCGUGGUUAAGACAUGCAAGUCGAACGGUGUUCAGGUUGUAGCAAUACAAAAUGAACGCAGUGGCGAACGGGUGCGUAACACGUGAACAAUCUACCUCUUAGUGGGGAAUAGCUCGGCGAAAGCCGGAUUAAUACCGCAUGUGGUUGUCUCUCGCAUGAGAGGCAUACUAAAGUCAGGGACCGCAAGGCCUGACGCUAUUAGUAGGA
rnacentral:rRNA from 1 species